AAAAAGACAAACCUUGGGUUUCCGUGUCCAACGUUUGACUGUCCGUCUUAUAUGAAUUUUUUUUAUAAUUAGUAUUUUUAUUGUUGUUAGAUGAUAAAACAUGAUUAAUACUUUAUACGUGACUUGUCUUUUUAAUUUUUUUCAUAAUUUUUUCAAAUAAGACGGACGGUCAAACGUUGGACACGGAAGCCCAGGGUUUGUCUUUUU
rfam:Oryza glaberrima chromosome 3 Oglab03_0004_9, whole genome shotgun sequence.